CUAUCUCUUGCUGAAGUAAGUGGCGCGAAUCUUUUGAUCAGUUCGAACAAUGAACCUCCACCCCAUGUGGUAAGGCCGCCAAUGCUUAAGUACCAAACGACAACCAUUAAUUCAUUCUCAUAUCCUGACCUAGCAGUGAAAGGGCAGAAAUGGCCUUGUUGUAGUAAGCAAUAGGCUGAUUUUGCUACAUUAAUAUUGCCCUUAUCCUCGACUUGGAAGCAUCAAUUUCCACAAAAAGAUGGAGUAAAAUCAAGCAUGGCCAAUACAGGCGCAAAAAGCUUGUUUAAUGUCUCGAAAGAGUCUGGAGUUUUAGAAUCCCAAACUGGACUGGCC
rnacentral:lncRNA from 1 species